rnacentral:lncRNA from 1 species
ACAGUUUCUAACUUUAGUAUCCUGUGAAUUAAAGUAUAUCAAUUUAGUGUCCUUUGGGUUCAUUUUUAUUUUUUUAUUAUCAAUUUUAUGAUUUUUUUUUUCGUUAAAUCAGUAACAAAGUUAAAACUAAAGAAUAAUAAAGUGAAUAUAUUCGAUAAACUUAAAUGGGUAUCUAAAAUUUUUGCAUAUAAUUUAACAAAAAAUUACUGAAAAAGCUAACAAAAAGAUAAAAAUGAAACCACAGAACACUAACUUGAUACAUUUUAAACCACAUGGCACUAAAGUGAGAAAAUACGAAACUACAUGAUUGGUAUUUGAAGUUUACAAAAAAAAAAACAAAAAAACAAAUGGGAAGCGCCAACCUCUUAGAUCUAUCCUUUGACUACUAAUAGCUUUUGAAUUAAACACUAUUUCACCUACCAUCAUCUACCACCAUCAUCCUAUUCCAAUAUCACUCCAUCUAAGGACUAUAAACUCAAAAGCACCAAUUCUUUGGUGCUUUUGAGAGUAUUCUAGCUCAACUAUAUAUAUUUAGAUAGAUGGUUGAGCUAGAAUACUAUUGAUAGUAAAAUACUUUUUUUACUAUCAAAUUUUUAACCCUUAUAUGAGAAAUUGUAGAGUUAUGAUGAUAUUAGUUUCUUAGGUCUGAGUGGUCCCCCUAGGGUUAACUGGUCCCCAUUGGGUUAUAAUAUUUAAUCUAAUAGUUAGAAAUGAUGAAAGGAGUUGAUUCAAAAGUUAGAAACUUGAUAGCAAAAAAAACUUUUUGCUAUCAAUAGUAUUCUAGUCCAACUAUAUAUAUAUAUAUAUAUAUAUAUAUAUAUAUAUAUAAUGGUGUAGAGUUUUUAUACUUUCAAAAGUAUAAAAAAGUUCAUGCUUCCGAUUUUUUGAUCCUUAAAUAAAAAAUUAUACGAUUGAAAUGAUAGUAGUAACCCUUGAGGUUGAGUGAUCUCUCUAGAAUUGAGGGUCCCCACAGAAUAAUAAUAUUAAUUUAAAUAUUACAAAUGGUUAAAAAAGUUGAUUUAAGAGUUAAAAAAUUAGAAGCAUUAAUUUCUUUAUACUUUCCAAAGUGUAAUAACUCUGUUCUAUAUAACAAAUGGGAAAACGAAAUAAUACUGAGUUGCUGGUAAACUUAUAGCUCGUUAUUGGCCCAUACCGAUAACCCGCUACGUACUAGUGGCAUAUGACCGUUAAGCCAACAUGGGCUCACUGUACAGCUGUAGAAAUGGUCCCAUUUUUUCAUAAUUUUUAAUUUUUAAAUUUUUAUAUACAUAUUUUUAAAUUUUUUUAGGAAAAACUUCAAAUAGCUCCUGUGAUUUCGCAUUUUCUCACUUUAGUACACUGUGGUUUAAAGUGUAUCAAGUUAGUACGCUGUGGUUUCACACUUUCUCACUUUAGUACUCUAUGGUUUCAAAUGUAUCAAGUUAGUACUUUAUGGUUUUAUUUUUGUAUCAAGCUAGUACCAUGUGGUUUCAAUUUUCUUUUUUUAUUAUCCAUUUUGGGUUAUAUAAUUUAACGAAAUAUUAAACCACAUGGUGCUAAAGGGAGAAAGUGUGAAACUACAGGGUACUAACUUGAUACACUUGAAACCACAGAGUACUAAAAUGAGAAAGUACGAAACCAUAUGGUACUAGCUCGAUACAUUUUAAACCACGUGAUACUAAAGUGAAAAAAUACGAAACCAUAGGGGUAUUUAAAGUUUCCUUUUUUUUACUACUUACCGUACCUUCUAUAGUUCUAUGCCUCUUCUUCUGUAGCUGUACUUUUUAUUUGUAUUUAUCUUUUUGCUUUCGUCUUUUACAGGUUGUAAAGGGCCACAGUGUACAGUGCAAAGAGAGCACUGUAAAUUAUUUUAAAUCAACUAUUUAAUUUUUCAAAAAAUUUAAUUUUACUAUUCAAUUUUUAAAUUUAUCUGACUUAAAUUAAUCAACGGUAUUUUGACUUUAAAAUUUAAACUAAUUAGUUUAAUAAAAUUAUAGUUAGAAGAAUCGUAUGAAGUAUAUUAAUGAAAUCUAUAAAGACAAACGAUGUAUUUAAAUUUUAAAAGUCAAAAUGCCGUUGAUUAACUUAAAUAAAAUAAAUUGUAAGGUUAGAUAGUAAAAUCAAAUUUAACAAGUAAACGAUUAAAAAUUAUUUAUAGUUUACAUAAAUUUUGUAUGUUUUUAUCUUUAUCUUUUUCUUUUUUUACUGUAAAAGUUUUCACAUUAUUAAUAGACCAAUUUUACAAUUAUCAAACUAGAUUCAUUAAA